rnacentral:rRNA from 1 species
UACGUAGGGCGCAAGCGUUGUCCGGAAUUAUUGGGCGUAAAGAGCUCGUAGGCGGUUUGUCGCGUCUGCUGUGAAAACCUAAGGCUCAACCUUGGGCUUGCAGUGGGUACGGGCAGACUAGAGUGCGGUAGGGGUGACUGGAAUUCCUGGUGUAGCGGUGGAAUGCGCAGAUAUCAGGAGGAACACCGAUGGCGAAGGCAGGUCACUGGGCCGCAACUGACGCUGGAGAGACGAGAGCCUAGGGGAGCGAAUGGG